rnacentral:rRNA from 1 species
AGUGGAUGGGGAGCAACCUAGUUGUGCGUGUGUAAAGGUAGUGCCAAGAAAAGCGAUGAUCAUGUUGAAAAUCAAUUCCCGGUACCCGAAACCGACACAGGUGGGCAAGUAGAGAAUACUAAGGGGCGCGAGGUAACUCUCUCCAAGGAACUCGGCAAAAUGACCCCGUAACUUAGGGAGAAGGGGUGCCACCGAGAGGUGGUCGCAGUGAAGAGGCCCAGGCGACUGUUUAGCAAAAACAUAGGUCUCUGCAAACUCGAAAGAGGAGGUAUAGGGGCUGACGCCUGCCCAGUGCCGGAAGGUUAAAGAAGUUGGUCAGUUUUAGGAUGAAGCUAGCGACUGAAGCCCCGGUGAACGGCGGCCGUAACUAUAACGGUCCUAAGGUAGCGAAAUUCCUUGUCGGGUAAGUUCCGACCCGCACGAAAGGCGUAACGAUCUGGGCGCUGUCUCGGAGAGAGGCUCGGCGAAAUAGGAUUGUCUGUGAAGAUACGGACUACCUGCAUUUGGACAGAAAGACCCUAUGAAGCUUUACUAUAGCUUGGAAUUGUGUUCGGGCUUCCUGUGCGCAGGAUAGGUGGGAGGCGUAGAAGGUAUUCUUGUGGGGAUACUGGAGCCAACGGUGAGAUACCACUCUCAGGAGGCUAGAAUUCUAACUUAAUUAAGGACAGUUUCAGGUGGGUAGUUUGACUGGGGCGGUCGCCUCCAAAAAGGUAACGGAGGCGUACAAAGGUUCCCUCAGACUGGUUGGAAAUCAGUCGAAGAGGGCAAAGGCAGAAGGGAGCUUGACUGCGAGAAGUACAGUUCGAGCAGGGUGGAAACACGGUCUUAGUGAUCCGACGGUGCUGUGUGGAAGGGCCGUCGCUCAACGGAUAAAAGUUACUCUAGGAUAACAGGCUGAUCUCCCCCAAGAGUUCACAUCGACGGGGAGGUUUGGCACCUCGAUGUCGGCUCAUCGCAACCUGGGGCGGAAGUACGUCCCAAGGGUUGGGCUGUUCGCCCAUUAAAGCGGUACGUGAGCUGGGUUCAGAACGUCGUGAGACAGUUCGGUCCAUAUCCGAUGUAGGCGUGAGAAUAUUGAGAGGAGCCUUCCUUAGUACGAGAGGACCGGGAAGGACGCACCGCUGGUGUACCUGUUAUGAUGCCAAUUGUAAACGCAGGGUAGCCAAGUGCGGAGAGGAUAACCGCUGAAAGCAUCUAAGUGGGAAGCCCACCUCAAGAUGAGUAUUCUGGUGUAAGGUCACGGGAAGACGACCCGUAAAUAGGCACGAGGUGGAAGUGCAGAGAUGUAUGAAGCCGAAGUGUACUAAUAGACCGUCGGCUUGAU